GACUGGUGAGAACUGGUUAAAAUCUUUUCAUUCUAAUGGAGCUGUGAAGUUCUCAAAGCUGAUGAAAAUGGUCGAGAAGAGCCACAUCGAAGAGUCAGAAAUCUACUGAGAAUUUCUGAUAAGCACAGCUAUGUCUGGGGAGGAGCUACAUGUAACAAACUCCUUGUUUAGUUAAGGGAUACAGAGAAUUUUCAUCAAAAUGCAGCGUUUCCAUUUAACUUCACCCUCUGAAGAGAACUGUUUUUCACUGAAAAAAUAAGUUAUAAAGGAAAUUAACUCUUAAUUAACGCUCUUAAACUCAACAUGAGGAAACUGAGGCCUGAAUCUGCAGCUACGUAGCUCUGCUUGCACAAACACUUCCAGUGCUUUCAACAAAGAUCUUCACACAGCAGAAUUGCUCACAUGGAUAAUUGCUCCUGAGAUCAGGCAAUCUGGGUUAGUUAGUGAAAUAAGGGCACUAAAUCAUUUUCUAAUCUAUAUUGUUCUUUUUUGACUGCCAAAGUGCUAGCUGUAUUUAUUUUUUAUAAUCCUGAUAAGGAAACAUUCCUAAAACAUUAGCAAAAAAAAUCCAGCUUGAGUGAGAGGACAAAGUGAAACAAACAUCUCUCAGCCUUCCUCUGCUGUGGCUGAUCUUUAAAUAGCAAACUUGAGCCUCUGUCAGAGCACGCUUUGGGUGGUUGUACGGCAAGUAGCUCCACGAGAUGGGAUUGGAAAAUCCUUCAAGGCCCUUCAUCAGCAGGCUCUGGCUCUUUGAGCUCUUCCCUGCUCCUGCCUUUGGAAGGAGUCGUGCCUGAGAACGUUUAAUCCGCGGCGACCCUGAGCGCUGUCCCUCGGGGAGCUCCCUCCUCUUGUUAUGGUGUGUUGGCCGUGUCAGAGAUACCAGGUUGCUUCAUUCUCAUCCACCACGGGGCAAAGAUCUUCCAAACACUCAGGAAGGCUCUGCAGGAAUACUGGGAUCGCAUCUUCCAGAGGAGUUUUGUUGGAUCCCUCAGUCCUUUUGCUUUAACUGAGCUGCAGUGCAUGGGAGGAGCUGCAAACACACAGUGACCGCAGGACCUCACUUCUUUGGGACACUUCAAUUUGCUCGUUGUUAUUUAGAAGAAACCUCACCCAGUCCACCUCGAUGCCCUUGGCUUUUCCUUCUCCUCAAAAAGCCCUUGAGAAAUUUGUCAUUCAAACCAUCACUGUUUGUUUCACUGCCCAGUUUUUACUCUGGAGCAAGGAACUCCCAAGGCUCAGGGUUUAAUAUCCAUCACUGGAACAUCAGAGCUCCUCCAGAAAUGCUGGGAAGACCCACAUCAGGAUAACUUGACAUGAAAAUGAAACAAUGACAGCUACUGAAUGACAGGACUAAUAUUUUGACCACUUAUUUUUGUUUUCUGCCUUUUAUCCAAGACAGGGGAAAAACUGAGCAGAACAGUGUGAAAACAAACAGCAAAACUCAUCCCUGCAGCCUCAGCCAACUUCUCCUGUGAUCUGGGAAAAAUACCCCAUUCCCCUGCAGGCUUCCCUCUCUAAUUUACUGCAGGGAAAAAAAAAAAAAAAUUAUUCAGGUACUGUUGGGUCAACAGAGGACUUAUAAAGUCGAUGAGAAUGACAAAUGUGACACCCUACCCCCGCUGAACUCCUCUGCAGGCAGCUGAAGCCAAUCCAUCAGCAGAUGCAGCAGCAUUUGUUUCUGAAACAUCUGCUCUGUAUCAAUAUGCAAAUCACACCAGGAGAUUCUGAUCUCAAAGCCUCAUGGUUUUUGUUGUUGUUGUUUCAAGGAACUGGAACCAGCCACUGCUCAGAGUACUUUUCUUUUGAUUUUUGACUAUUGCUGCAAUACUCCUGGAAUAUUCAAAUAUUAACUCGUCAGGGUUAUUCCAAGGAGAACUUUUAGUUGUUUUGUUUUGUUUUGUUUUGUUUUGUUUUGUUUUUUGUUUUGUUUUGUUUUGUUUUUUUGGGGAGUCAAAGUAUUUUCUUACCAGGGGGAUUUAAGCCUGGUGAAUUCUGAAUCAGACCUUAAUUGUAUCCCUUGUCAAUCACUUUUAAUCCGAGUGGCAGUUGGGGCAAGGAGACCUCACAUGUUUUGGCAAGUCAAUGGUAAAAUGACUUGGAAAACAGCAAGGCAAGCUGAUACUGUGAUUAAAUAGCCAACAAGGGACUCAGUUCCCAUUCUUUGAGGGAACUUUCUCCAAAAUGUGCCAGAUCUCCUUUCCAGAAGAUAAUAAAUACAUUUCUGAUGCAAUAAAAAUUAAGGCUUCCAUUUUAAAAUGGACUGGAAUCCUCGUCCUGCUCAUGACUGCAGAGUGCUCAGCUCUUCUGGGAACCAGAUCAUUUAUUUUACUGCUUAAAUGUGGAUUUGGAGGCUCCUCUUUGUCAUAUUCUUGACAUGGUGGUUGAAGUGAUAGAAUAAAGACAUCCCAUGAAGAAAGAAAGCAACCUAAAUGUAUUAAGUAAUUUUUAAAAUAUAUUAUCAGUGAGGACCUAAAUGUGGGUGGAUGAAUAUUGUACAACACAUGGGUUUUAAAGAGCUUUUUUUUUUUCAAUUUGAAGUGUUUCUCCCUGUC